UCUCGUGACACAAAAUGGGUCUUUCUCUCUCCCCACGACAGCGAUCUCCAGCUCACUCUCGUGACCCAAAAUUUCAACCAUUGAGAUCCCAAAUCCCUCCUCAGAUCUUCAAUCGGAGCUCCUCCUCCGUCUCCUACGAGAUCCCCAAUCACUGUCCUGAGAUCUCCAGUCGGACCUCCCCCGCGGCAUCCACAAUGACGACGAGCUCGAUCUCCAGAUCCGCAGCUUCCAGAUCCGCCAUCCCCAACUCAGGUACUGUAUUCAAGAAUGGAAAUUUGCAGACGUGAUGUUUUGCAGUUGAGGCCCAAGAAGAAGAUCAAGUACACUAAUUAUCUGCUUGUUUGCCUUUUUCAGUCUGUUACUGCUGCUUUAGUUCACCUGUUAUAUGCCUUUUGCAUAACAAAGUAACUGCUGUUUUUCAAGUGAUGUUGAACAUUAACUUUUGCCUGUAAUAACAAAGUAACUGCUGUGUUUUCUGUUUUA